AUUGAACGCUGGCGGCAGGCCUAACACAUGCAAGUCGAACGAGAGGCGGACGGGUGAGUAAUGUCUGGGAAACUGCCUGAUGGAGGGGGAUAACUACUGGAAACGGUAGCUAAUACCGCAUACCAUCGGAUGUGCCGAGAUGGGAUUAGCUAGUGGGUGGGGUAAAGGCGCACCUAGGCGAAGAUCCCUAGCUGGUGUGAGAGGAUGACCAGCCACACUGGAACUGAGACACGGCCCAGACUCCUACGGGAGGCAGCAGUGGGGAAUGUUGGACAAUGGGCGAAAGCCUGAUGCAGCCAUGCCGCGUGUGUGAAGAAGGCCUUCGGGUUGUAAAGUACUUUCAGCAGGGAGGCGUUACCCGCAGAAGAAGUACCGGCUAACUCCGUGCCAGCAGCCGCGGUAAUUC
rnacentral:rRNA from 1 species